GUGCUCCCUUCGGCAGCACAUAUUCUAAAACUGGAACAACACAGAGAAGAUGAGCGCGGCCCCGCGUGAAGGUGACACGCAAAUUCGCGAAGCGUUCCAUAGUUUU
ensembl:snRNA U6 U6 spliceosomal RNA